rnacentral:rRNA from 1 species
UGGGGAAUAUUGCACAAUGGGCGCAAGCCUGAUGCAGCCAUGCCGCGUGUAUGAAGAAGGUCUUCGGAUUGUAAAGCACUUUAAGUUGGGAGGAAGGGCAUUAACCUAAUACGUUAGUGUUUUGACGUUACCGACAGAAUAAGCACCGGCUAACUCUGUGCCAGCAGCCGCGGUAAUACAGAGGGUGCAAGCGUUAAUCGGAAUUACUGGGCGUAAAGCGCGCGUAGGUGGUUUGUUAAGUUGGAUGUGAAAUCCCCGGGCUCAACCUGGGAACUGCAUUCAAAACUGACUGACUAGAGUAUGGUAGAGGGUGGUGGAAUUUCCUGUGUAGCGGUGAAAUGCGUAGAUAUAGGAAGGAACACCAGUGGCGAAGGCGACCACCUGGACUAAUACUGACACUGAGGUGCGAAAGCGUGGGGAGCAAACA